GAUGAACUAUUCAAUUAUCUGCAUUCUUUUACUGUCAGUGUCUAUGGUUUUAGCGUAUGGGUCUGUCACGUGAUUAAGGAACGACUCGACCCGAAGACUCAUGAGAUGAACUAAUCAAUUCUCUUUCCGGCUCAUAUUGCAUUGGGUUCAACGUAUUGGGCUGUCACGUGAUUGAGGAACGAGUCAAAAACCCGAUAGACUCGAACUAUGAACUAAUCAAUUCUCUUUCCGGCUCAUGCUGCAUUGGGUUUAAUGUAUUGGGCUGUCACGUGAUUGAGGAACGAGUCAAAAACCCGAUAGACUCGAACUAUGAACUAAUCAAUUCUCUUUCCGGCUCAUGCUGCAUUGGGUUUAAUGUAUUGGGCUGUCACGUGAUUGAGGAACGAGUCAAAAACCCGAUAGACUCGAACUAUGAACUAAUCAAUUCUCUUUCCGGCUCAAGACUGCAUUGACUGACAGGUGAAUUACUACGACUAGAACAGAACCCAUAGAAUAAUGCGCAUGCGCGACUGAACGAAUCACUCCCCGAGACGACUCGUUCUUCCCGAGUCACAUUAAAGAUUCGUUCAAAAUGAACGAAUCGUUCAAGAACGACACAUCACUAUGAUAGAAGCGAGAAGCGAGUGAAAGACUAUGACUUGUCCGGCUCCUGUUUUCAUUGUCCUCGCGCUGAGAGUUAAAGACACAGAAGCUGUUUGUGUGAGGAGUCACAGACCUGUGUGAGGAUGAGGAGGAGGUGUUCUUCUGAAGAGAGGGACAGACGGUUUAAGGAGAGUAAGCUUCAGAAUAACAUCAAGUUAUCUUUAUUUUUACUAAGACUAAAAUAAUGUUGUUGUUUUUUUAGAUGUUGCAAUCCAGAGACAAGAUAACUUCAUUCUUUUGAGACUGAUAACUCAAACUAACUGGAGUUAAGGACACAGAAGUCUGCUUGUGUGAGGAGGAGGUUUUCUCAGCUUCUUCUGAAGAGAGGGAAAGAUCGUUUAAG